GGGCAUGUGGCGGAAUUGGUUUACGCGUAGGUCUCAAAAACCUAUGGUCGCAAGGCCGUGUGGGUUCGAGUCCCACCAUGCCCA
rnacentral:tRNA from 1 species